AUGAUGAGAAACAGUUAAAAAUUUAUGGUUAGAAAACAAAUGAUGUCCAUGAUUUUAAUACAACUAGGGCGAACUGAUUUG